UACAGAGGUCUCAAGCGUUGUUCGGAUUCAUUGGGCGUAAAGGGUGCGUAGGCGGCGCGGUAAGUCGGGUGUGAAAUUUCGAGGCUUAACUUCGAAACUGCAUUCGAUACUGCCGUGCUUGAGGACUGGAGAGGAGAGUGGAAUUCCCAGUGUAGAGGUGAAAUUCGUAGAUAUUGGGAAGAACACCGGUGGCGAAGGCGGCUCUCUGGACCGAGACUGACGCUGAGGCGCGAAAGCGUGGGGAGCGAACAGG
rnacentral:rRNA from 1 species